ACGCACCGGGAUUGGUGGUUUAGUGGUAGAAGGCUCGCCUACCACUCGACGAUCCUGGUUCGAUUUCAGGCCAGCGUG